ACCUGAAGAAAAAGUACUAUGAGGAACCGAGGAAGGGGAUACAGGCUGAAGAGAUUCUGCAGACAUACUUGAAAUCCAAGGAGUCUAUGACUGAUGCAAUUCUCCAGACAGACCAGACUCUCACAGAAAAAGAAAAGGAGAUUGAAGGUGAGGAGUGAGUUAAGAGAUUAGAUGGCCUCAAAAGCUCCAAAAAUUGAAAUAACUUGACUGGAUAAACAUGGGACCCUUUAACUAGAGCAAGAUCCACAAAGGUGUGUCUUACUUGCCGAGGUCAUCUCUGAGUAGGGCAUAUGCAGUCAGCAACAACGACAGGUAAGUGUAUAAGGAAGAAUGAGGCAACAAGAUAACCCCACACAAAUUUUUCUUCUGCCUUUUCCUCCUCAGUGGAACGUGUGAAAGCUGAGUCUGCACAGGCUUCAGCAAAAAUGUUGCAGGAAAUGCAAAGAAAGAAUGAGCAGAUGAUGGAACAGAAGGAGAGGAGUUAUCAGGAACACUUGAAACAACUGACUGAGAAGAUGGAGAACGACAGGGUCCAGUUGCUGAAAGAGCAAGAGAGGACCCUCGCUCUUAAACUUCAGGAACAGGAGCAACUACUAAAAGAGGGAUUUCA
rnacentral:lncRNA from 1 species